ACUACAGCUGCGUGGUG
rnacentral:misc_RNA from 1 species